UGUGAGAGAUUUUCUACUUCACAUUUUCUUUUUCUGGAACUGUUUCUGAGACUGUCCCUCGGUCUCCCAGCCUUAGCAGGUCUAAAGAGCAGAGAUGACUCCAAGGUGGGUCUGGCCAGUGUUUCCUCCUGAGCAGAUACAGACCCUGCGUUCCCAGCAGGAACGCCCUCAUUUAUGCUGUGCUCUCUCAGUGUAGCCCACCAGGAGCAGCACAGAUCCCCCACCCCACUGGCGAUCUCAACCUGACGAUGGAAAACACCACUUUACAGACUCAGAUCUCAUCACGUCACUCUCCUGGUUAAAGACUUUGCCGCUGGUUUCCUACUGGCCUUGGAAAAGCAACAGAGGACUGACCAUGGCCUCCAGACACGGAACACUGCUGGCUGCUGCCCUCUCCCGUCAGUUCACCGCAACUGCCUGCAGUGUGCUCUGCUCUCACUUUCAGUGAAUAAUGCUGCCGUGAACGUGGAUGUUCCAGUCCCUGGUUUCGCUUCUUUUGAGUAAAUAGCCAGAAGUGGAAUCACCGUGUUGUAAGUUAAUUCCAUGCUUAAUUUUUGAGGUACUGCCAUAUUGUGUUCCAUAGCAGCUGCUCCAUUUUACUUUUCUCUUUCCUUUUUAUGGCAGAAUAAUAUAUCAGGUUAUGAUAUACCUAAUUUUGCUUAUCCAUCCAUCUGUUGAUGGACAUUCGGAUUGUCUGAA